AGACUCGGUGAAAUUGUAAUUCCGGUGAAGAUGCCGGAUACCUGCGACAGGACGGAAAGACCCCAUGGAGCUUUACUGUAGCUUGACAUUGGGUCUUGGUACUACAUGUACAGGAUAGGUGGGAGGCGUUGAAACCAGGACGCCAGUUUUGGCGGAGCCAUCCUUGGGAUACCACCCUUGUAGUACUGGGACUCUAACCAU
rnacentral:rRNA from 1 species